GUGCUCGCUUCGGCAGCACAUAUACUAAAAUUGGAACGAUACAGAGAAGAUUAGCAUGGCCCCUGCGCAAAGUGCAAGGAUACAGGGAGAGCUAAAGACCUGGUGC